ensembl:lncRNA
GACUAAUGUCAAACUAGACGCAAAUUUUAAGCAUUUCUUUGUUUGCGUUGAUUACAGUGCUGGAGUGUGUGUGUGCUCGCACGCGCGGUAGAGAGAGAAAGAUAUAGUGUGUUCACUGUAGCACAAGAGAGAUCGAGACAGAGAAGCAAUUUGUCCUCGAGUGUCACAAAUACAGUUCAGUAAGAGACCUUUACUUCAACUAAAUCACCAACGUUAUACUGUAUGCCACAGCCUGAGAGACAGCAGAAAUUCCCACCUUAGUGCAGUGUGUCAAGGAACUAAUAUCCUCAAUGAACAGAGGGAUCGAUACAGCAAGCACAAGCUCAGGGUCCUCCAGCUCAGCCCAAGAGAUGGUAUGUUAUUGUAUGUGUUUUGUGAAAUACUAAUCAUUCAAAACAAAAAUUGUAAUAACAAUGCUGUGAGAAUGUAUUAACGGAUCAAACAGCGCUGACGUGGCAUCCACAGAUCAGCAACAAUUGACCUUUGAUUUACUGUGGUAGCACUAACUACAACCAUGAAGUUUGGCAGUAAUAGUCAGGAACAGAUUCUCAUCUAACUUGUAAAUUUUAGUGUUUUUUAAUUAAGUUUGGUUUAGUUAGUAUUAUUUUUUUUGUUUGUUUUUUAAUGCAGUUCAAAAAAACAUUGUACAGUCAGAAUAGCAAUAUAUACAAAAUGGAGAAAAACAAAAAAACGAACAAACAAAAAUAUAUAUAUAUAUAUAUAUAUAUAUAUAUAUAUAUAUAUAUAUAUAUAUAUAUAUAUAUAUAUAUAUAUAUAUGAACGGUAAUGUUAUGUCAUGAUUGACAGCUGUGAUUUGCAGCUUCUCUAAACAAAGUAGUCAGUUAGGCAACAACAGUGCUGCCCUCAAAUGUUAAUCUGAACUAAAAUAAACCUUAUUGUAGGCUACUACAAUAUUAUAUUUCAUUUUUUUCAAGGAGCUGUUUUUGUUUAUAUAUGCUCCUAAAAAAAAAAAAAAAUGAGCAAUGAUGGAGCUAUAAGUAAAAAAAAAAAAUUCAUACUUAUGUUGUUAGUUUUAAUGAAAAAAUAAUUAAAAAUAAAUAAAAGAAAUUUCUCUGGCAUUUCUUUCUUUUUGCUGUAGCCUAUUGAAAACGUACCGAACCGUGACACAAGUGUAUCGUAUCGAACAGAACCGUGCAUUUUGUGAACCGUUACACCCCUACUUUGUAUGUACAUCCUGGCAGGAUAACGAUAGAGUGGUGAGAUACGAACGCUAUCUGUUUAAUGAUGUAACUUAAACGUCAGUACAUUGACACAUUGAUGUUACUGCUAAUAACCAUAACACAUUGCUCAUUAUAAACGUGGGAUUAUGAAUUAUAUUGAGAACAUCGUACAGAUAAAACAUGCAGUAUUGUAACUUACCCUGAGUUACAUUAGUCGCAUUUAUCAUGAAGCAUGCAAGUGAUUUGCAAAGAUUAAUUUAAAGGUUAAUAAACCGUCACACUUACUACUUCUGGAGGUGCAGCAAGAACACUUCUACUCAUUCAUAGUGCUGACAAUCACAUCGAUAAGUUAAUAUUAAACAUUAAAAUGGAGGAUGGCAUGGUAGGGCAUCAGUAUAAAUAAACUAUUUCAUAUAUUGAUAUUUAUUGCUAAGUUCAGCUAGUUUAGCUUUCUUCACAAAACUGCCGACAGUAAUGCAGCCAUCCUUUACUACAAAACAGAUAUGAUCACACAGACUGUGAAAAAGGUCUCUUUUUGCCUAGAAAAUCAUUGUGUGUCUAUAUUCUAGCAAGCUUUAUAUCCUAUAACCAUAAGGUGGAUAUUAUGAAUAAUUUGUGGCUAUUCAUAAAGCACUAAUGUACUAAUGUUUUUUUGUUUUUGUUUUUUCGGCAGACACUGUCAUAUCUGAGUUUCCGGGCACGUCACAGUCCGAGGUUAGAGCCGUAAUACGGCGAAAGUGCAAUAACGAAAGUUUUGUUUCAAAAAAAAAAAAAACACUGUAAAGGUAAUUUUUUGUUGUUGUUGGGAAAGGAAUGUGAAAGUAAAGAAGAAAUUUGUGUUUUGUUCAUAUAAGAUACGUACAGUAAUCUGUAGUUUAAUCAUUUUAUUAAAGGGUUAGUUCACCCAAAAAUCGAAAAGUUCUUUGUAUUUAGUCACCCAGCGUGUUGUUCUAAACCCUUAAGACUUCCAUUAACCAUCGCAUCACAAAAUAUUAUAUUUAUGAUGUAAUCUGAGCGCUGGAUAAGUCUUCCAUUGACUUCCAAGGGGCUUAAACUUGCUCGAUCAGAAAUCGUAUUAAGACAUUGUUUGAAAUUGUCUAAGUGACUCCAGUGGCUCAACCAUCCAUUUAUCAAGCGACUGAGAAUAGUUUUUCUGCCAAAAAACAAACAAAAAAAUAACGAAUUUAUUCCAAUAUCCAUUUACUCGUGUUGUGCUUGAAAGUUGUUUACGUAGUGUAUCUGCGACGCCUGGUGACGUAGAACCCAGAAGCUCGCGCAGAUACACUACGUAAACAACUUUCAAGCACAACACGAGUAAAUGGAUAUUGGAAUAAAUUCGUUAUUUUUGUUUGUUUUUGGCGCAGAAAAAGUAUUCUCGAUGGUUGAGCCACUGAAGUCACUUGGACUAUUUUAAACAAUGUCUAUAUGUUUUCUGAUCGAGCAAGUUUAAGCCCCUUGGAAGUCAAUGGAAGACUUAUCCAGCGCUCAGAUUACAUCAUAAAUAUAAUAUUUUGUUAUGCAAUUAUAAAUGAAAGCCAUACGGGGUUAGAACAACACGCAGGUGAGUAAAAACUGAGAUCAUUUUGAUUUUUGGGUGAACUCCUUUAAUGCUUUUAGUUUAAGCUUGCCACUUGUGUUAUUUUGUUUCCCAACAGUCUGUUUGGACUUUAAUAAUGUUUAAAAAAAAAUAAAGUGUUUUUUAAGAAAGAGAUGCUUUUUGUUUGUACACAUACCAUUCCUCCUGUAUCCUUUUAAGCUAUAGGUGUUUUCAUUUACAUGAAUUACAUUUACCGGUUAUUUUUAUCAGAUGCAUUACAUCUAACUUUAAAAUGAUUAUUGUAUUAAACGCCUUCAUCAAUGGUGGACAAUUUUAACAUUUACAUUUUAACAGUAUAACUUCAGCAUAAAUGAGGCAGAAAAUGCUACUGAUAACACAGUAAUAGUGUACUUGACUAAAAAAAAAAAACCAUUAACAUUUAAAUGUUUUAUAAAAGUACUUUUGACAUAGUUAAAAUACAUUUUUACAAUAAAUUAGUUUCCAUAAAUAUAAUAUGAUUGUAUAUUCUUAUAUUUUAAAGAAUUUAAAGGUGUAUUUAAACAUGUUUUAAAGAUGGGUUCUAUUGCUCUAAGGGGAAAAAAAAAUAAAGCUGAAAUAAUAUUUUAAAAUCAUGUUUUAAGUUCAUCUUAAGUUUGUAUAAAAAUAAAAAUAGCACAGUUGAUAUAUUCUUAUAUUUCAAAUAAUUUAUGUGUAUUUAAAAAUGUAUUAAAGAUUUAAUCUAAAGAUUAAAUUAAAGCUGAAAUAGUAUGUUAAAAGCAUAUUUAAGUUCAUCUUCAGUGUGUCUCAAAAUAGCACAGUUGAGUACACUAAGAUGAUCUUAAGUUUAUAUUAAGAAGUACUAAAGAACAUUUUUUAGUAUAUUAAAUACAAAAUAAGUGCGUGAAAAUAGAGCACUUUAAAUACAUUAUGGAAGUGUAUUAAGUGCACUUAAAUAAAAUGUAUUUUAGUGUACUUUUUUAAUCUAGGAAUACAUUAUAAGUAUAAUUUGUAUAUAAUUACAUAUUAUUAUUAUUAUUAUUAUCAUUUAAAUAGUUUAUUAUUGUAUUUAAAGAUGGUUUCAAUUAUACUAAAACUGGUAACGAAAUACAUUUGUUGAAAAUAUGAAAUAGUAUAUUAAAAAUACACUUUAGUUUAUCUUCAGUGUGUCUCAAAAAAGCACAAUUGAGUACACUAAGAUGAUUUUAAGUUUAUAUUAAGCAGUACUAAAGGUAAGCUUUUAGUAUAUUAAGUGCAAAAUAAGUGUGUCGAAAAUAGAGCACUUUAAGUACAUUAUGGAAGUGUAUUAUGGAAGUGUAAUAAAAUGUAUUUUAGUGUACUUUUUUUAAUCUAGGAAUACAUUCUAAGUAUAAUUUGUAUAUAAUUUAAUAUUAUUAUUAUUAUAAUUUAAAUAGUUUAUUAUUUUAUUUAAAGAUGAUUUCAAUUAUACUUAAAGUGGUAACAAAAUACUUUUUUUAAAAAUAUGAAAUAGUAUAUUAAAAAUACACUUAAAUUCAUCUUCAGUGUGUCUCAAAAAAGCACAAUUGAGUAUACUAAGAUGAUUUUAAGUUUAUAUUAAGCACUACUAAAGAUAAGCUUUUAGUAUAUUAAGUGCAAAAUAAGUGUGUCGAAAAUAGAGCACUUUAAGUACAUUAUGAAAGUGUAUUAUGGAAGUGUACUAAGUGCACUUAAAUAAAAUGUAUUUUAGUGCACUUUUUUUUCACCUGGGGUAGGUGAACCUUC